AUGUGACUAGAUGUCACCCACAGAAGUGAGAGGAAGUGAUUUGUUCCAUGUCGGAGUCAAGCUUCUUAGAAAUGGACGUGCUUCUUCCGGGAUCUCUUUCUCCUUCCACCAGCUAAAUGCAGAUAGCAACAACCACACAGUGGGGACACAGAGAAGUGAAGCCUGGGGCCCUGAAUGAUCACAUGGAAGAGACUCACCCUUCUGGUUUCAAUAUUUGACUUAUAGUGGUACUGUCCCACACUGCUGGCAACCCCAGAAGUGCCAUCAGUGACCCCGAACCCUGCUGAAGGCCUACACCUGCUGAAGAAGCUCAUGCCCAGUUUGAACCCACUCAUGACUGAGCCCAAGGACAGUCUUGUCUGUGCCAAGGGUCCUGGCGGCUGCGUUGAAGGACUGAAGGGAAAAAAAAAAUCACCAUUUUGCUUUCUCCACUCUUGACUGUGAAGUUUAAUAUAAGGUAUGGCUCAGUCUUUGUGAUGAUUCAUAACCUGGCUCUAACCAACAAACCAUUGGACCAUCCUGCGCCUCAUCUCUCUCCCCUACAGAGUCUCUCCUUACCUGUCUGGCUUUUGGGUUCCUUACACGUGGUCUCCCCAGAAAGCACUGAGGACUCUGAUUCAUCAUGUCAAGCGGUCAAUUAGAAUCCGGGAAAGCCUCUCUCUGGCCUCACCUUACUUCCUGUACCAGGAGAGAUGCUCAUCAAUAGUGAGAAAGAGUUGAUGGGAUUAGAGUCUGGAAGUGACAACCUCUCCUGAACCUGAACUCAUUGAUUUCUUCGUUUUACAAAACAGUGUUCUUGAAAAAAAUAAACAAAAAAAGGAAAUAAUACAACUAAGAACUCCAAGGUCUAAAUUUUAACCAGCUGUAUCUCAUAACAACAGAAGCUGCAAUGGCCAACAUACGUCAUUUAUAAAACGCCAACUUAUGUGGAUGGGGAUUGGGAUUUAUUGGCCUAAUGCAAAGAGCAUAUAAAAAAUGAGUAGGGAAAAGACUACUGUUUGUGUAUAUAUGUAAUUAUUACAUAUAUUCUUAAAUGAUAUUUAAUAAAUAAUCAAAUGAUUAAAUAAUAUAUA
rnacentral:lncRNA from 10 species